GGCCUCGUAGAAAGUGCGCGUACAAAGCGUAGACGGUGUCCAUGCGUGGGUUCGAAUCCCACCGAGGCUA
rnacentral:tRNA from 1 species